UUGAUCCUACACCCAUUCUCACACUCUCAAAAUCCUUACCAUCCCUACCCUCGGAAAACCUAAUCGACAUAAACUCCCCACUGUAAUUAUCUCUGCACAUUCAAUUAGGAAUUCCAAAGAUCUCACAACUCUUCCUUCCCCUAACGCAUCAAAACCCCGAACAAUUCAUAAAAUUCGUCUCAUCGGCUCCUAUAUGGGAUUAUUUCAAUUCUUUCCCCCAACAGAGAUACACUUGAAAUUGAUGAAUGGGUGUAGAGAUCGAUCAAUUGGUACCUGUAAUUGCACUCGGUUUGGGUUAGUUUCGAGAAUGGGUGAAGAAUUGAAGAUUGAUCCGUUUCAUGGGUGAAUUGGUGCACAUAUCUAAGGCACGUGACAACCGGAUCAACUACUGUUCAAGUUGAGAAGAUUGAAAGAGCAAUCGGGAGGCAAAGAGUCGUCCGAGAGCACCUUCAUCUGUCGUCCUUCGAUUCUUCAAUCUCUAAAAACUGUUGAUGUUGAAUGAUGAUGAGUCCACACCAAUAGAUAAAGGUUAUGGUUGGGGACCAAAAUGUGGGAAUUAUUGGAUUAAUCAGAUUUUUGAAAGGGCUGCUACAUAGAAGUUAAUGGCAACUGCAGACCUCAGCACACUUGCAUAGGGUUUAAUUUGACGAACCCUGCUGAUUUUCUGCUUGAUCUUGCAAAUGAUAAGAAGAUAUGUAUAUCAUGAUGUUAGUAGGGUUGGCGAUGCUGAAAAAUUAAUGGAUUGUUUUUCUGUUCAAGUGAGUUUCAAGUUUCAACCAACUUUAAAUUAAAGACCGAAGCUGCAAAAGUGUUCUUUUCAGUAGCAAAACUUUUCCAGGCUAGAGAUAUGGGAUUAAGAAGAAUGGUUUAUUUGAUUAUAAAGGAGCUAUCCCCCUCUUCAGAUGAGGUUAUCAUUGUCACAAGUUCCCUUAUGAAAGACAUGAAUAGCAAGAUUGACGUAUAUCGAGCAAAUGCUAUUCGUGUAUAAUAAACAAACCACAAACGUCAUACACACACCACAAAUCCUAACAAGAACUACGAGGCGACAAAACAAACGCACCCGCCGCAACGCGCAGGCAUUCCUGAAUAGAAUAGAAUAGAAUAAAGCACUUCAAUAGUUUCACUCCAAACAUCAGGGCAAAUUACAUACGGAUAACAGGUAGACAAACAACAAACCGCGCCGCCAUCCCUUUCUGAAUAGAAUAGAAUUAAGAAUUAUGAGACGUGUACUUUAAAAAAAUAGAGUUAAAUGCUAUUUUAGUCCUUGUGUUUGGAGGCCUCCUAACACAAAAACGUAAAUCCCACUGUAUCAAGAUAA